UGAGCGUGUUGUGCUAGGUCACCACGGUUUUGAUUGGCGUUUCCUUCCUGGGACUCCUGGCCCAGGAGCAGACGGCAGGGGGAGGAAGGCAGAGUUGGGGGUGGCGCUUGGGGGCCGCGGAGCCCGAGGGACAUCCGUCCUGCAGGAAUGUCCCUGCCCCCAUGGCCUGAGUCUUGACCCCUGCGUCCGCGUUGGAGGGUCAAGAAGGAAGCGCUAGUCCACAAGAGAGCCUGGCUCAGGUCAGAGUCAAGCCAGAUUUUAAGGGGAACUACACCAUUCUGACUGUGCUGGCUAUUUGUAGGCGUCAACCCGACUGGGCUAAGGGAUGUCCCCGGAGCCGGAGCGGAGCCGGGAGAGCAUCACUUCUGGGUGAGACGGCUGUCGCACCGAGCAGGCAGUGACCUGAGAGCCGCUCCGCGCGUGAACCAGCUCCUGCAUCCCCGAGAUGGCGCCGCAGGGCCCGGACAUUUAUCGCCCCCUUUGCGCAAGAGGAACCAGGGGUACGCACGGUUUUG